UACAGAGGUCUCAAGCGUUGUUCGGAUUCAUUGGGCGUAAAGGGUGCGUAGGUGGCGGGGCAAGUCAGGUGUGAAAUCUCGGGGCUCAACCCCGAAACUGCACUUGAUACUGCUUUGCUCGAGUACUGGAGAGGAGACUGGAAUUUACGGUGUAGCAGUGAGAUGCGUAGAUAUCGUAAGGAAGACCAGUGGCGAAGGCGAGUCUCUGGACAGUUACUGACACUGAGGCACGAAGGCCAGGGGAGCAAACGGG
rnacentral:rRNA from 1 species